rnacentral:rRNA from 1 species
AUGGCUCAGAUUGAACGGCUGGCGGCAUGCCUUACACAUGCAAGUCGAACGGUAACAGGUCUUCGGAUGCUGACGAGUGGCGAACGGGUGAGUAAUACAUCGGAACGUGCCCAAUCGUGGGGGGAUAACGCAGCGAAAGCUGUGCUAAUACCGCAUACGAUCUGAGGAUGAAAGCGGGGGACCGUAAGGCCUCGCGCGAUCGGAGCGGCCGAUGUCAGAUUAGGUAGUUGGUGGGGUAAAGGCUCACCAAGCCGACGAUCUGUAGCUGGUCUGAGGGGACGACCAGCCACACUGGGACUGAGACACGGCCCAGACUCCUACGGGAGGCAGCAGUGGGGAAUUUUGGACAAUGGGCGCAAGCCUGAUCCAGCAAUGCCGCGUGCAGGAAGAAGGCCUUCGGGUUGUAAACUGCUUUUGUACGGAGCGAAAAGGCUCCCUCUAAUACAGGGGGCCCAUGACGGUACCGUAAGAAUAAGCACCGGCUAACUACGUG